AUUGAACGCUGGCGGCAUGCCUUACACAUGCAAGUCGAACGGCAGCACGGGAGCAAUCCUGGUGGCGAGUGGCGAACGGGUGAGUAAUAUAUCGGAACGUGCCCAGUCGUGGGGAUAACGUAGCGAAGCUACGCUAAUACCGCAUACGAUCUACGGAUGAAAGCGGGGGAUCGCAAGACCUCGCGCGAUUGGAGCGGCCGAUAUCAGAUUAGGUAGUUGGUGAGGUAAAGGCUCACCAAAGCCGACGAUCUGUAGCUGGUCUGAGAGGACGACCAGCCACACUGGGACUGAGACACGGCCCAGACUCCUACGGAGGCAGCAGUGGGAA
rnacentral:rRNA from 1 species